rnacentral:rRNA from 1 species
AACGAACGCUGGCGGCAUGCCUAACACAUGCAAGUCGAACGAGACCUUCGGGUCUAGUGGCGCACGGGUGCGUAACGCGUGGGAACCUGCCCUUAGGUUCGGAAUAACUCCCCGAAAGGGGUGCUAAUACCGGAUAAUGUCUUCGGACCAAAGAUUUAUCGCCUUUGGAUGGGCCCGCGUUGGAUUAGCUAGUUGGUAGGGUAAAAGCCUACCAAGGCGACGAUCCAUAGCUGGUCUGAGAGGAUGAUCAGCCACACUGGGACUGAGACACGGCCCAGACUCCUACGGGAGGCAGCAGAGGGGAAUAUUGGACAAUGGGCGAAAGCCUGAUAAAGCAAUGCCGCGUGAGUGAUGAAGGCCUUAGGGUUGUAAAGCUCUUUUACCCGGGAUGAUAAUGACAGUACCGGGAGAAUAAGCUCCGGCUAACUACGUG